AUUUGGCUGCGACAUCUGUCACCCCAUUGAUCGCCAGGGUUGAUUUGGCUGGUCUGGCUGGCUAGGCGGGGACCAU
rnacentral:sRNA from 1 species